rnacentral:rRNA from 1 species
UACAGAGGGGGCAAGCGUUGUCCGGAAUUAUUGGGCGUAAAGAGCUUGUAGGCGGUUUGUCGCGUCUGCUGUGAAAAUCCGGGGCUCAACCCCGGACUUGCAGUGGGUACGGGCAGACUAGAGUGUGGUAGGGGAGACUGGAAUUCCUGGUGUAGCGGUGAAAUGCGCAGAUAUCAGGAGGAACACCGAUGGCGAAGGCAGGUCACUGGGCCGCAAGCUGACGCUGAGGAGCGAAAGCAUGGGGAGCGAACAGG